UACAGAGACUGCAAGCGUUAUUCGGAAUCAUUGGGCGUAAAGGGCGCGUAGGUGGCCCGGUCAGUUCGUGGUGAAAGCGCGGGGCUCAACCCUGCGUCGGCCAUGAAUACUGCCGCGGCUGGAGCACUGUAGAGGCAGGCGGAAUUCCGGGUGUAGCGGUGGAAUGCGUAGAGAUCCGGAAGAACACCGGUGGCGAAGGCGGCCUGCUGGGCAGUUGCUGACACUGAGGCGCGACAGCGUGGGGAGCAAACAGG
rnacentral:rRNA from 1 species